UGUGCUCCACCCUAUGGUACUCCCAAUCACGGCCGGGUGUGAUACAGCCUGGAUUCGAACCAGGGUGUCUGUAGUAACGUCUCUAGCACUGAGAUGCAGUGUCUUAGACCGCUGCGCCACUCGGGAGCUCCCAUUAGGCCCUAAUCACAGAUACCUUUAAAAAAAAUAAAAGGUAGGGGUGUGGAUCAGAAAACCAGUCAGUAUCUGGUGUGACCACUAUUUGCCUCAUGCACCGCGACACAUCUCCUUCACAUAGAGUUGAUCAGGAUGUUGAUUGUGGCCUGUGGAAUGUUGUCCCACUGUACAAAGUAGCUGGAUAUUGGCAGGAACUGGAACACUCUGUCGGACACGGCGAUCCAGAGCAUCCCAAACAUGCUCAACGGGUGACAUGUCUGGUGAGUAUGCAGGCCAUGGAAGAACUAGGACAUUUUCAGCUUCCAGGAAUUGUGUACAGAUCCUUGCGACUUGGGGCCGUGUAUUAUCAUGCUGAAACAUGAGGUGAUGGCGGUGGAUGAAUGGCACGACAACGGGCCUCAGAUGCCAUCAUGGUAUCUCUGUGCAUUCAAAUUGUCAAAAUGUUCUCUGUUUAGUGAGUCCUCCAGAUCAGAGGCAGUUGGGAUGACCAGGGAUGUUCUCUGUUUAGUGAGUCCUCCAGAUCAGAGGCAGGUGGGAUGACCAGGGAUGUUCUCUGUUUAGUGAGUCCUCCAGAUCAGAGGCAGUAGGGAUGACCAGGGAUGUUCUCUGUUUAGUGAGUCCUCCAGAUCAGAGGCAGUAGGGAUGACCAGGGAUGUUCUCUGUUUAGUGAGUCCUCCAGAUCAGAGGCAGUAGGGAGGACCAGGGAUGUUCUCUGUUUAGUGAGUCCUCCAGAUCAGAGGCAGUAGGGAUGACCAGGGAUGUUCUCUGUUUAGUGAGUCCUCCAGAUCAGAGGCAGUAGGGAUGACCAGGGAUGUUCUCUGUUUAGUGAGUCCUCCAGAUCAGAGGCAGUAGGGAUGACCAGGGAUGUUCUCUGUUUAGUGAGUCCUCCAGAUCAGAGACAGGUGGGAUGACCAGGGAUGUUCUCUGUUUAGUGAGUCCUCCAGAUCAGAGGCAGUAGAGAUUACCAGGGAUGUUCUCUGUUUAGUGAGUCCUCCAGAUCAGAGACAGUAGGGACGACCAGGGAUGUUCUCUUGAUUAUUGCGUGAAUUGGACCAUUUCCUGUCCUGCUAAGCAUUUAAAAUGUAACGAGUACUUUUGGGUGUCAGGGAAAAUGCAUGGAGUAAAAAGUACAUUAUUUUAUUUAGGAAUGUAGUGAAGUAAAAGUAGUCAAACAUAUAAAUAGUAAAGUACAGAUACCCCAAAAAACGAAUUAAGUAGUAAUUGAAAGUAUUUUUACUGAAGUACUUUACACCACUGCCCCAUACCAUAACCCCACCGCCAACAUGCGGCACUCUGUUCACAACGAUGACAUCAUCAAACCGCUCACCCACACAACGCCAUGCACGUGAUCUGCAGUUGUGAGGCCUGUUGGACGUAACGCCAAAUUCUCUAAACUACUUUAGAGGCGGCUUAUGGUAGAGAAAUUAUCAUUUAAUUAUCUGGCAAAAGCUCUGGUGGACAUUCCUGCAGUCAGCAUGCCAAUUUCACGCUCCCUCAAAACUUGAGACAUCUGUUCCAUUGUGUUGUGUGACAAAACUGCACAUUGUAGAGGGGACUUUUAUUGUCCCCGGCACAAGGUUCACCUGUGUAAUAAUCAUGCUGUUUAAUCAUUUUAUUGAUAUGCCACACCUGUCACACCUGUCAGUUAGAUGGAUUAUCUUGGCAAAGGAGAAGUGCUCACUGACAUGGACGACAAACAUGGACAUGGACGUCAAACAUUUGAGAGACAAACAUUUGAGAGAAAAAAGCUUUUUUGUGCGCAUGGAACAUUUCUGGGAUCUUUUAUUUCAGCUCAUGAAACAUG
rnacentral:lncRNA from 1 species